rnacentral:rRNA from 1 species
GACGAACGCUGGCGGCGUGCUUAACACAUGCAAGUCGAACGGAAAGGCCCUGCUUUUGUGGGGUGCUCGAGUGGCGAACGGGUGAGUAACACGUGAGUAACCUGCCCUUGACUUUGGGAUAACUUCAGGAAACUGGGGCUAAUACCGGAUAGGAGCUCCUGCUGCAUGGUGGGGGUUGGAAAGUUUCGGCGGUUGGGGAUGGACUCGCGGCUUAUCAGCUUGUUGGUGGGGUAGUGGCUUACCAAGGCUUUGACGGGUAGCCGGCCUGAGAGGGUUACCGGCCACAUGGGGACUGAGAUACGGCCCAGACUCCUACGGGAGGCAGCAGUGGGGAAUAUUGCACAAUGGGCGGAAGCCUGAUGCAGAAACGCCGCGUGCGGGAUGACGGCCUUCGGGUUGUAAACCGCUUUCGCAUGUGACGAAGCGUGAGUGACGGUAAUGGGUAAAGAAGCACCGGCUAACUACGUG